AUGCAUACUAAUGUAUUAUGGUCUGCUGAAGAAUUUAACAGCUCAUUUAGACAAUGUAACAGAAGGGAUAUGGUGUAUUAAAGCAUUAUGCACUUGACAAAACCAAAAUAAGGAACAGUAUUGUUAUUACAACUCUUAAUUUCAAAGUACAUACAUGAAAUACUUGCCACUGGAUGUUGACCAAGCAACAAAGAAUCAAUCAUUUCAAAGAUGCAGUGAGGCCUUCAACAUGGAGCUAACACCUCAAUGCAAACUCCUAGCACUUGGUUGAGGGAAAUAUUUGCUAAAUAUGGAUCACACAACAACUGAUUAACAAAAUAUAUGGCCUCGGUGGUCUCCUGGUAGUAAAAUGGUAUUGUGCUAGCUUGACAUCAAACCAGAGACUUAAUAGGUAUUUGGUGCUCCUUCUCUUGAGGGCGGGGCAUUUAUGAGUAAGAACAAAGACUGGUCAGCUUGGAGUAAGAAUAAUGUGUCUUCCUGCUGACAGUUAUCUUGUGAGCUAGCACGUUUAAAAUUUGGUCUAGUACAAAGCAGGGUUUAUAUUCAUAUCACAUUAACAUGCUUGUCCUAAACAUGCAUUUAAUUUGCAAUUGGAGGUUAAACAUUCCAUCACAUUAACAAUAUACAGACUUUAUAGGUAAAUGCAUACAUGUACUGUCAUAAGCAUAUGCCAUUGUAAAAUUUAAAAACAAUACAGACAUCUCAAUAGUUACACAAUUUUGAUAAAAUGAUUUCAAGUCAAAUUUCUGUAAACCAAACAUGUCAGUCAUAAUAAAUUAUAUAAUUUUUAUUCUAGAUUUUCUUAUAGUUAACUGUGAGAUGAAUUUCUUCAAAUUGAAGCUGUUGGGCAUUUCAAAUCUAGGAUCUAUGACAAGUGUGAUGAUUUCAGUUUUCAUGUUGUCAACAUCUCGUUCUUGAGUUGAUCUGAGGACUUUGGAACUUAAGAUUGUAUAAUACUAGAUUGAUGCUGUAUUAACUAUCACACAAUUUUUAACUUUUGGAGAAGGUUUCUGGCAGAAUAUUCUGUAAAAAUUAAUGAUGUACAGCUAAUCACUGUUAUGAAUUAAACUUGGGAGAAAUACUCAAGGAGAAAUAUGCCAUGGGAACAGCUUUGAACAAAAACAAGAUUGAAGUGCUUCUGAUCCAGGAUGUGAUGAAAUCUUGUCAGAAAGUAAUCAGACGACUAAGGACUAAAAAACAUCUCCUGUAAACUUAAAGAUGAACUCAUAGAUACAACUGUGCAGAUUAAAAUGUAGAACUUGAAAAAAAAAACUUAGCUGAAAGAACUCAAGAAUCAUUCAACAAAAAAACUCCACUGAUGAAUUUUUAACCAACUCAACUGAUGAAUUUACAGAUAUCUCUACUGAUGAACUUGGCAUGUAAAUUUAAAACUGAACUGAUAAGAUAAGGACAUACUUAACCAUUGAACAACAGAGUGAAAACCUUAAUUUAUCUUCAAUUUUUAAAAAUUAUGAUGGUGAUGGUAAGAGAGAGAGAGGGGGAGGGAAAGAACAAACAUUGUGCAGGUGAAUUCCUAUUCCACCAAAUGUUUGGCUUAUGUUAUUAAAAAAAAAUAAAAAAUCCAUUAAAAAAAAGAGUAAUUAUUAAAAUCUUGUACCUUCUAUAUGAUAAAGCCUUAGUGUUUGGUUGAAUGUCUUUAGCCUGAAGAGAGAGAGAGAGAGCACCUUUUGUAUUUAUUUUGAUAUUUUUUGUGGUGUAUUUAAAAAUAGAUAAUUAGGAUAGAGUAUAGUAAACUCCUUUUUAGCUCACCUGGCCCGAAGGGCCAAGUGAGCUUUUCUCAUCACUUGGCGUCCGUUGUCCGUCGUCUUUAGCUUUUUACAAAAAUCUUCUCCUCUGAAACCACUGGGCCAAAUUUAACCAAACUUAGCCACAAUCAUCAUUAGGGUAUCUAGUUUAAAAAAUGUGUCCGAUGACCCCGCCAACUAACCAAGAUGGCCGCCAUGGCUAAAAAUAGAACAUAGGGGUAAAAUGUAGAUUUUGGCUUAUAUCUCUGAAACCAAAGCAUUUAGAGUAAAUCUGACAUAGGGUAAAACUGAUUAUCAGGUCAAGAUCUAUCUGCCCUGAAAUUUUCAGACAAAUCUGACAACCUGUUGUUGGGUUGCUGCCCCUGAAUUGGUAAUUUUAAGGAAAUUUUACAGUUUUUUGUUAUUAUCUUGAAUAUUAUUAUAGAUAGAGAUAAACUGUAAACAGCAAUAAUGUUCAGCAAAGUAAGAUCUACAAAUAAGUUUUCAUGACCAAAAUUGUCA